rnacentral:rRNA from 1 species
UACAGAGGUCCCAAGCGUUGUUCGGAUUCACUGGGCGUAAAGGGUGCGUAGGUGGUCAGGUAAGUCGGAUGUGAAAUCUCCGAGCUCAACUCGGAAACUGCAUUGGAAACUACCUGGCUCGAGGGUUGGAGGGGGGACUGGAAUGCUUGGUGUAGCAGUGAAAUGCGUAGAUAUCAAGCGGAACACCAGUGGCGAAGGCGAGUCCCUGGACAACUCCCGUGACAUGAUGCACGAAAGCUAGGGGAGCAAACAGG